rnacentral:rRNA from 1 species
CGUAGGUGGCAAGCGUUGUCCGGAAUUAUUGGGCGUAAAGCGCGCGCAGGCGGUUCCUUAAGUCUGAUGUGAAAGCCCCCGGCUCAACCGGGGAAGGUCAUCGGAAACUGGGGAACUUGAGUGCAGAAGAGAAGAGCGGAAUUCCACGUGUAGCGGUGAAAUGCGUAGAGAUGUGGAGGAACACCAGUGGCGAAGGCGGCUCUUUGGUCUGUAACUGACGCUGAGGCGCGAAAGCGUGGGGAGCAAACAGGAUUAGAUACCCUGGUAGUCCACGCCGUAAACGAUGAGUGCUAAGUGUUAGAGGGUUUCCGCCCUUUAGUGCUGCAGCUAACGCAUUAAGCACUCCGCCUGGGGAGUACGGCCGCAAGGCUG